rnacentral:lncRNA from 1 species
UGGUGGUUCGGGGUGGAGUGGCGGCAUCGGGAAAUGACGAUUGUGACCUUGAUUUUGAGUUUGAUUUUGAUUGCUUCUUGUUGCUGCUGCUAUUGCUGUUACUGUGCUUUGAAUUGGAAGAAGGCAUGGUUGAGAGUGUGCGUUUUUGACAGCGGAGUUUGAAUUUGUUGUUGAAGUGAGUUAAGAAGAAGAACAAGGUUGGAACCUUUUCUCUCACGGUAGGGUUUUACUUGUACCCAAAUGGAGAUGGAUUUGACUUGGUAGGGUUUUACAAACAACUUCUUCACAAUGUUCACAUUGUUGAUUUUGAGUUUCUUUUUGUCAAGAUUAAGUUUUUUUUUUU